rnacentral:misc_RNA from 1 species
AAAAAUAAUGAAGCACCAAGUGAGCCAAACCUAUUCCAGACUCAGUCCUGACAAUUUGUUACAACAGCUCAAUUCUACAGUCUAAAUUCAGAUUUUCACAUUUAAUGCAAGCUUACAACCAAACUAAUCAGCAAGGUUUACCAAAACAAAAUUGUAAAGAAAAAGAAACCUUCAAUUGGUCUGUGGAGCAAUCAAAAUUCCAGAGUUCAGACUAUAGGAGCACAAGCCCAAGUUCUGCAGGCUUCAAUAUUUGUUUAAUGCGAUAAUUGUAAAGAUAAUAGUGAAGUUUCCCAUCACCAGGCCCAAAUUUCAGCUCCUUCAAGAAAGACUCAUUUUGCAUGACAUCUAGUGCAUUGAACACAUCAUAGUCUGCGUGUUUUGCAACAAUUAGUGCAUCAUUCAUCAGCUGAACCAAUGGAGUCUUAGUUGAAAUAUUGUAGUAAGAAUAUGCUGCC